rnacentral:lncRNA from 1 species
GAGAAGUAAACAUUUGAACCCAGGUCUGACUGCCACCAAAGUGCUAUUCUUUUCACUCUCUCAUGCUAUUUCGAUGACAAAUAUACGCCAAUAUAUUGAAAAGCAGCAGAAAAUGAUGAUCAGGAAAAAUUAACAGACAUCUGUAUUCUGAGUUUGGAACUCCUGGCUCAAAACUUUGUUGUUGAGGAUUUUUUGGUUUUUUAAAAAUUUUCUCAAGCAGCAAAAAGAGAGAGAAAGAGAAGAAAAAGGAGGAAGAGUAGGAAGAGGGAAUAUUGUCAAGCUCCUGGAAUAAUGCUCCCACCUAACAUAACAGGUCUGGAUGGCUACUGCACAGACCUGAGCAAAGAGAGCUGGAGAACAGCUCCAACCUGUUCAACCCUUGAGAAACUGAGUGGACAGGAGGCC